rnacentral:lncRNA from 1 species
AAGUGAUUCUCCAGCCUCAGCCUCCCAAGUAGCUGGAACUAUAGGGGCCCACCACCAUGAUCAGGGAUCUUUGAUCUCAGGCUGAAUGGAGGAAGAAGAGCUUUUCUAGUUGACGCCUGUCACAGAGAUCUGAUGAAGUCAAUGUAAAUGAGUCCGCAGAAGCUUGAUAGCCUAUAGAAGUCCUUGAAAAUCCCGAAUGGCACGAGAAGGUUGAAAACUAGUCAAGAUGCUGAUAUCUUCAAGAAGUUAAAUAUAACCUAAAAAAAUUAUUUGUCACAGAAUAAGGUUGGUUUAAAAAAUUGUAAAGGGGAGGAGAGUGGAGAUUCAAGCCUAGAGAGGAAGGCUGAAUAAGAAGAAAGUAAUUGUGAAGUCAACUGUAAAAUAUUUCCUGGGUCUCACCUGGUAAAUCCACACGGGCUUCCUGAAAGAGGAAGGCUAGAGUUACUUUUGAGUUGCCUUUCAAAUGAUAAGCAGGGUCCUUGAGUAAACAGGAAAUGAAAGACUCGAGAGAGUAGCUGAGGAAGGAUGCAGAAGUGAAAAGGAGAGGGGAGCCAUCAGCACCCCAGAUUUAAUUUGAUGGAGAAUUUUCUCUAUUUGUUUAUGUGUGUGCCCGUCUUUAUUAGACUGUCUGUUUGCCUUUCAAGGGCUGGGACUGUGCCUCAUUCACCUUCAUAUUCUAGUAUAAUGCAAGCUUAGGAAAUUAUUGUCUAAAUACAUACACUCAGACAUAAAUGGAUGAGAGUAAGAAUAAAGGCAUAAGUGGUGGUAUUUAGCAGCAGCCUUGGCUGUGAGCUUAAGACUGUUUUUUGUGACCUGCCAUCUUCCUUUGCGCAACAACACAGCUCAUGAUGAUGUUCCAGAGCAUUUUGCCACCAGAAAAUGAGGCUUGCUUUUGGUCUUUUGAAGGAAGACUGCAGUGAACAGUUAAAUUGACUUUAAAUUUAGCAGCAUUGGGCAAGAAUAGAAAUGUUCUAAUCCUGUCUCCUCCUACGGAAUGUGAAUUGUGGUCAAAGUAAUAUGUUUUUGCCUUCUGUGAUUUCGAUCAAAUUUCAUAGGCCAGACAGGGCGUAGGGAGCCAGGCUGCACAGCCACUCUCCCUGGUAAACAGUGUCACACCUCCCUUGGACAGCCCAGGGUACCAUGUGUGCCCUGGCGUUACAGACACCUCACCAGGGCUUGUCUGUUCUCCCUGCCUUGUUUCUCAGCCCAGUGUUCAUGUGGAGUUUGGCUUCCUCUUCUUAGAACUGGGAAAGGCAACGCUGUGCAGGUGUGAGAGGUACAUACACAUGCGCCCAGAAGAUGCUGCCCCAGAAAAACAUACCCAGGGCCUGUAUUUGACUCAGAGUUUAAGGUCUUACUUUUCAUUAGAAAAUAAGAUCACUAGCUCUAAAAUUUCCACUGGGGAAGACUGGGUUGGCUUAGCAGGGCAGUGCUAUCUGAUGGGCAGCUGUAUUCUAUAAAGUAGAUGAGGGAAGAUGACAGAAUGGCAUGUCUGUGGGCAGAAAGCAGAAGGGAAAUUGGCUUCCCUUCAUAGGCCACUAAGGAAAGGGUUAUCCAGUGGCCUGCUGGAUUUGACACUAUCUGCCUGCCACAUCUGAGCUCAGCAUUUUUGCUUUGACACGCAUGGGUCAUUCUACCCAUUGAGCUUCAGCAAUUCCCUAUUACAGAUGCUUAUUGGCAACAGAAUCUUAAGUCCAAUAAAGGAGCAAAGAGAUUUUACUUUGGAAGGAAAUACUAUGGAUUCUUCAGUCAUUCAGAGGCCUCACCUCCUCCCUUAAUGAGUGCUCCCAAUGUAAAGGUAUAAUGACUGGCUAACUAAAUGCUUUGGGGGUAUAGGAAUGAGGACACACAUCUAGAAAAGUGGAUUUUAGAAGAAGAAAAGACAGUAUAAUGAAAACAAGUUUAAGAAAGAGCAAAAAUAAAAUUUGACUUAUGUAUAUCAAUUGUGAUGAACUGUAAUUAUGCAUUACAUGGAACAAGUCUACACAAUCAGAUAAGAAUUCUUCACUAAUUUCCUCUUUAUUUGUCUAUGUCAUAAUCCACACUAGGGAAGAAACAACCUCUACUUUUUAAAAGUCACAAAUAUUAAGCCUAUAAAAAUAUCAAUAUCUUAUCAAAGUUUAGCUCAAAUUUAUACAGGAAAACAAAGGUUCAUUCCAACCCACCUAGCUUCUUCUGAUGGUUUAUUAAGUAGUAUUUAAGAAAAUUGAGUCUCAUAUUAUCUGGCCAAAAGAUAUUUUUCUUGCCUCUGUAUUAUUAAACAACACUUACUGAGACUAUUCAUCAGAUGUCCAGAUUAAUCUUGACGGUGAAGAAUACAUGAACUCUAUAUGCAAUCUUAAAAAGGAGUAAUAUAAUAUGCUAGUUUUCUCUUUCGUGUCCAUUCCUCAAAACUUGAUUAUUAUUAGGUUAGGCUCAUCCUUUACUAAUUACCUUUAGUUAAGAUUUCUUAGUUUGCAAAAAUUAUUGAAUUUAUAUUGACUUAACUGAAUGAGCAUUUGAAAACUGUCUCUCAUAGUUCAUCAUGAGUACUGAAUUGUUCCUCCUCUUUUUCUUUAAGUUUCUUCUCUUUACUACAUAUUUUUCCCCAACCAGUUAUUUUUGUUGUUGUUAUUUGCUUCUUAAAAAUUCUGUGAGGCUUAUUUUUAGAAUAUUUUAUAAAUCUGGCUAUGUCUAAGAAUGGCAAACUAUGAUAAUUGAUGUACUUAAUAUUUGCUAACACAUGUCUAUUCCACUGUCAAUGAAAAGACUGUGCUUGCUUUGAUCAAGAAUUAGCCAAAAUUUGGAACUCUCAGAAAGCUAUUUAUUUAUUCCAGAACAAAGCAUUUGGUUUGUACUACCAUCAAAAUAUUCUAAGUGGCUAGUUACACUGGUAAAAAAAAUAAGAUAUCUCUUUUGUUCAGGCCUUCAGAAUUUUAACAUCAUACAAAAUCAAUAAAGCUCUUAAAUGUAAAUCUAUGAAGAUGAGACACACUGAUUUCUUGGCUAUUGUUUACUGAGGUGAUUAAAAAAAGCCUUGCAGCCCAAACAGAAUUUUAUUUUCUCUGUCAAUAAGAACAAUAUACUUCCAUGGAUAAGUAUGUCAUCUAUGGAAGCAUUUCAGAUGUCUGUGUUGCAGAUGCAGAAGUUAUCUCUUGGGAUUUCCCUGCACCACAUCACAUACUAGACUAUCCAUUGUAGGAAAAGAUGGUUGGGUCGAUUAUAGGAGUUGUCCUUGGAAUCAAUUCCAAGCGCUCCAGAAACUUACAUCUAUAGGUCUGACUUAAUGUAAUUCAUAAUUGUCCCAUGUUAUAGGUCUGACCUAAUGUAAUCCAUAAUUGUCCCAUGUUAUUUUUUAAAAUGUGGCUGAUAUAGAUCUCCUAGAAAAAGGUCACAUAAUUAGAAUUAUUUCAGUAUUUAAUUUACAGGGAAAUUCGGGGGUUCAAAGUAGUCAGGAGAUGCUUUAAGUGAAAGACGUUGCCUAAGGCCGUUCUAGUAAGUAUGAUAACGGUUUGUAAAAUCACCAUCAGCUACAUCGUCAUUUGAAAACAGAUUUAAGAAAUAUAUAUAUACUCAAAGCACUGCACUAAAGGAAAACAGACCAAGACUAGUAAUAUUAAUCCACUGUCAUCCAGUUGGCUGGCCUACCUGCUACAGAAGCUGAGGCUCAGCUGGCCUGCCAAUGGGCUUGAGCCCGUGGGGAUCUGUGACUGUACCAUGACUCACUGACCCUGCAAAAGCCAAACUGGCUCCGUUGUCUUUGUCCAGAGUCCUCAUUUCAAGGCCUUGGCCUCUCUUGCCUCUUUACCAAGGUAAAAGGCAGCAAUAAGUAUGAAGAGUCAGACAAAAAAAAAAACA